rnacentral:rRNA from 1 species
AUGACGCAGCCGAAGAGAGCAGGUGGUAUAGGCUUCAGGGACAUGCACCUUUUCAACAUCGCCCUCUUGGCUAAACAAGGCUGGAGGCUCAUCCAGAACCCUAACAGCCUGCGCGCACGGGUACUCAAGUCUAAAUACUACCCAAACGGUAACUUACUGGAUACCGUUUUUGCGUCCGAUGCUUCACCAGUUUGGAAGGGGAUUGAAGCCGGCUUGGAAUUACUCAAAAAAGGCAUUAUAUGGCGAGCAGAAGAUGGAAGGAGCAUACAAAUACAACGAGACCAAUGGAUCCCCAGAAGCGAGGGUCUCAAGACGGCCACAUUCAUGAGGAGAUCAAGAUUAAGGUGGGUCAAUCAACUUAUGCACCCCGGAUAG